UCAUACGGAGGAUCCAAGCGUUAUUCGGAGUGACUGGGCGUAAAGAGUUGCGUAGGGGGUUUGUUAAGCAAAUAGUGAAAUCUUGUGGCUCAACCAUAAGGCUAUUAUUUGAACUGGCAGACUUGAGAGUAUGAGAGGUAGAUGGAAUUUCUAGUGUAGGAGUGAAAUCCGUAGAUAUUAGAAGGAACACCAAUGGCGUAGGCAGUCUACUGGCAUAUUUCUGACCCUGAGGCACGAAAGCGUGGGGAGCGAACCGGAUUAGAUACCCGGGUAGUCCACGCCGUAAACGAUGGAUACUAGUUGUUGGCCGUAUCGACCCGGUCAGUAACGAAGCUAACGCGUUAAGUAUCCCGCCUGGGGAGUACGGUCGCAAGAUUA
rnacentral:rRNA from 1 species